rnacentral:rRNA from 1 species
UACGGAGGGUGCAAGCGUUGUCCGGAUUUAUUGGGUUUAAAGGGUGCGUAGGUGGCUUAUUAAGUCAGAUGUGAAAGUCCUGGGCUUAACCUGGGGACUGCAUUUGAUACUGAUUGGCUUGAAUUCGGGAGAGGAUAGCGGAAUUCCCAGUGUAGAGGUGAAAUUCGUAGAUAUUGGGAAGAACACCGGUGGCGAAGGCGGCUAUCUGGACCGACAUUGACGCUGAUGCGCGAAAGCGUGGGGAGCAAACAGG